CACGCGGUGUCGGUUUUGAGCUUGAUAGCGGCGUGGCUUCAAUUUGAGGU
rnacentral:ncRNA from 1 species